GUUCUCACUCCAAAAGUAUAUAUGCUAAAAUUGAAAAAAUAAAGAGAUCAGCAUGGCCCCUGUGGAAGAAUGACUCUACAAAUUCAUGAAGUGCUCCAUAUAUAA
ensembl:snRNA U6 U6 spliceosomal RNA